UGGCGAUGAGAUGGAAUCAGUAGUCUCUUCUAUAUCCUCAUCUUCCUUAUCCUCAAUCUUUUCCAUCUCUACGAGCUCUGACGAUACGAUGUCAGAGUAGAAAGUAGAAAGAUGAUCAAAACAACCACAGAUAAUUAAAUUGUUGUAUGAAGUCAAAUCAGAAUAUUACGACCAAGACUGAUCAAAACGGUGUCUCUCAACUAUGUAAAUAAUUGUACUAUGGUAUCCUUAUAGUUAUGAUAGCUAAUAUGUUGUAUAGUGAUUAGAAUUACUGUAAAACUGCAAUUUUUCUACAUUUGGCCUUGCCUUUUUUUGCAGUUAAGAAAGAAAAUAUGGUAGCUUGUAUAAUUAUAUGAACUGUCGGUUAGGUUUUGGUCUAAAUUAUUUGUAUGUUCCGACAUUCAAUUUUUUUAUUUUGUAAAACCAAAUUAUAAUUAAACCUGUGUUUAAUAGUUUUAAACCUUCAAAAAUUGUAAAUACAAAUAAAGAUAAGGGCCUUAAUGAUUGUGAAGGAAUGUAUAGAUAUAGCUCUGAAUGUUUUUUUUUUAAUAUUGUAAUAGUUUUUUUACCAUCUUUAUAAUUUAUAGACCUAUCAAUACUGGUUAAUUAAAGCAAGGAUGGUUAAUUAUGGAUUAUAAAAAUAAAUUUAUAACAUCAGUUAUGGCACAUUAA